AUUGAACGCUGGCGGCAUGCCUAAUACAUGCAAGUCGAACGAGUGGCGGAGGGGCGUGUAAUGUCUGGGAAACUGCCUGACGUACGGGGCUAACUACUGUAAACGUUAGAUAACACUGCAUACCACCGGAUGUGCUCUGAUGGGAUUAUCUAGUCGCGGGGGUAAAGACACACCUAGCCGACGAUCCCUAGCUGGUCUGAGAGGGUGACCAGCCACACUGGAACUGAGACACGGUCCAGACUCCUACGGGAGGCAGCAGUGGGGAAUAUUGGACAAUGGGCGCAAGCCUGAUGCAGCAAGGCCGCGUGUAUGAAGAAGGCCUUCGGGUUGUAAAGUACUUUCGGCGGGGAGGCGUUACCCAACGAGGAAGCACCGGCUAACUCCGUGCCAGCAGCCGCGGUAAUUC
rnacentral:rRNA from 1 species